AGAUUAAGUUAUUAAGGGCGCACGGUGGAUGCCUUGGCACUAGAAGCCGAUGAAGGACGUUACUAACGACGAUAUGCUUUGGGGAGCUGUAAGUAAGCUUUGAUCCAGAGAUUUCCGAAUGGGGAAACCCAGCAUGAGUUAUGUCAUGUUAUCGAUAUGUGAAUACAUAGCAUAUCAGAAGGCACACCCGGAGAACUGAAACAUCUUAGUACCCGGAGGAAGAGAAAGAAAAUUCGAUUCCCUUAGUAGCGGCGAGCGAAACGGGAAGAGCCCAAACCAAAAAGCUUGCUUGUUGGGGUUGUAGGACACUCUAUACGGAGUUACAAAGGACGACAUUAGACGAAUCAUCUGGAAAGAUGAAUCAAAGAAGGUAAUAAUCCUGUAGUCGAAAAUGUUGUCUCUCUUGAGUGGAUCCUGAGUACGACGGAGCACGUGAAAUUCCGUCGGAAUCUGGGAGGACCAUCUCCUAAGGCUAAAUACUCUCUAGUGACCGAUAGUGAACCAGUACCGUGAGGGAAAGGUGAAAAGCACCCCGGAAGGGGAGUGAAAUAGAACCUGAAACCGUGUGCUUACAAGUAGUCAGAGCCCGUUAAUGGGUGAUGGCGUGCCUUUUGUAGAAUGAACCGGCGAGUUACGAUUUGAUGCAAGGUUAAGCAGUAAAUGUGGAGCCGUAGCGAAAGCGAGUCUGAAUAGGGCGUUUAGUAUUUGGUCGUAGACCCGAAACCAGGUGAUCUACCCUUGGUCAGGUUGAAGUUCAGGUAACACUGAAUGGAGGACCGAACCGACUUACGUUGAAAAGUGAGCGGAUGAACUGAGGGUAGCGGAGAAAUUCCAAUCGAACCUGGAGAUAGCUGGUUCUCUCCGAAAUAGCUUUAGGGCUAGCCUCAAGUGAUGAUUAUUGGAGGUAGAGCACUGUUUGGACGAGGGGCCCCUCUCGGGUUACCGAAUUCAGACAAACUCCGAAUGCCAAUUAAUUUAACUUGGGAGUCAGAACAUGGGUGAUAAGGUCCGUGUUCGAAAGGGAAACAGCCCAGACCACCAGCUAAGGUCCCAAAAUAUAUGUUAAGUGGAAAAGGAUGUGGCGUUGCCCAGACAACUAGGAUGUUGGCUUAGAAGCAGCCAUCAUUUAAAGAGUGCGUAAUAGCUCACUAGUCGAGUGACACUGCGCCGAAAAUGUACCGGGGCUAAACAUAUUACCGAAGCUGUGGAUUGUCCUUUGGACAAUGGUAGGAGAGCGUUCUAAGGGCGUUGAAGCAUGAUCGUAAGGACAUGUGGAGCGCUUAGAAGUGAGAAUGCCGGUGUGAGUAGCGAAAGACGGGUGAGAAUCCCGUCCACCGAUUGACUAAGGUUUCCAGAGGAAGGCUCGUCCGCUCUGGGUUAGUCGGGUCCUAAGCUGAGGCCGACAGGCGUAGGCGAUGGAUAACAGGUUGAUAUUCCUGUACCACCUAUAAUCGUUUUAAUCGAUGGGGGGACGCAGUAGGAUAGGCGAAGCGUGCGAUUGGAUUGCACGUCUAAGCAGUAAGGCUGAGUAUUAGGCAAAUCCGGUACUCGUUAAGGCUGAGCUGUGAUGGGGAGAAGACAUUGUGUCUUCGAGUCGUUGAUUUCACACUGCCGAGAAAAGCCUCUAGAUAGAAAAUAGGUGCCCGUACCGCAAACCGACACAGGUAGUCAAGAUGAGAAUUCUAAGGUGAGCGAGCGAACUCUCGUUAAGGAACUCGGCAAAAUGACCCCGUAACUUCGGGAGAAGGGGUGCUCUUUAGGGUUAACGCCCAGAAGAGCCGCAGUGAAUAGGCCCAAGCGACUGUUUAUCAAAAACACAGGUCUCUGCUAAACCGUAAGGUGAUGUAUAGGGGCUGACGCCUGCCCGGUGCUGGAAGGUUAAGAGGAGUGGUUAGCUUCUGCGAAGCUACGAAUCGAAGCCCCAGUAAACGGCGGCCGUAACUAUAACGGUCCUAAGGUAGCGAAAUUCCUUGUCGGGUAAGUUCCGACCCGCACGAAAGGCGUAACGAUUUGGGCACUGUCUCAACGAGAGACUCGGUGAAAUCAUAGUACCUGUGAAGAUGCAGGUUACCCGCGACAGGACGGAAAGACCCCGUGGAGCUUUACUGUAGCCUGAUAUUGAAAUUCGGCACAGCUUGUACAGGAUAGGUAGGAGCCUUUGAAACGUGAGCGCUAGCUUACGUGGAGGCGCUGGUGGGAUACUACCCUAGCUGUGUUGGCUUUCUAACCCGCACCACUUAUCGUGGUGGGAGACAGUGUCA
rnacentral:rRNA from 1 species